rnacentral:rRNA from 1 species
AACGCUAGCUACAGGCUUAACACAUGCAAGUCGAGGGGCAGCAUGGUCUUAGCUUGCUAAGGCCGAUGGCGACCGGCGCACGGGUGAGUAACACGUAUCCAACCUGCCGUCUACUCUUGGACAGCCUUCUGAAAGGAAGAUUAAUACAAGAUGGCAUCAUGAGUCCGCAUGUUCACAUGAUUAAAGGUAUUCCGGUAGACGAUGGGGAUGCGUUCCAUUAGAUAGUAGGCGGGGUAACGGCCCACCUAGUCUUCGAUGGAUAGAGGUUCUGAGAGGAAGGUCCCCCACAUUGGAACUGAGACACGGUCCAAACUCCUACGGGAGGCAGCAGUGAGGAAUAUUGGUCAAUGGGCGAGAGCCUGAACCAGCCAAGUAGCGUGAAGGAUGACUGCCCUAUGGGUUGUAAACUUCUUUUAUAAAGGAAUAAAGUCGGGUAUGGAUACCCGUUUGCAUGUACUUUAUGAAUAAGGAUCGGCUAACUCCGUGCCAGCAGCCGCGGUAAUACGGAGGAUCCGAGCGUUAUCCGGAUUUAUUGGGUUUAAAGGGAGCGUAGAUGGGUUGUUAAGUCAGUUGUGAAAGUUUGCGGCUCAACCGUAAAAUUGCAAUUGAUACUGGCAGUCUUGAGUACAGUUGAGGUAGGCGGAAUUCGUGGUGUAGCGGUGAAAUGCUUAGAUAUCACGAAGAACUCCGAUUG